UACAGAGGUGGCAAGCGUUGUUCGGAAUUACUGGGCGUAAAGGGCGCGUAGGCGGUUCGAUAAGUCCCGUGUGAAAUCCCUCGGCUCAACUGAGGAACUGCACGGGAAACUGACGGGCUUGAGUUCGGGAGAGGGAAGCGGAAUUCCGGGUGUAGCGGUGAAAUGCGUAGAUAUCCGGAGGAACACCGGUGGCGAAGGCGGCUUCCUGGACCGACACUGACACUGAGGCGCGAAAGCUAGGGGAGCAAACGGG
rnacentral:rRNA from 1 species